rnacentral:rRNA from 1 species
GGCUCAGGACGAACGCUGGCGGCGUGCUUAACACAUGCAAGUCGAACGGUAAGGCCCCAGCUUGCUGGGGUACACGAGUGGCGAACGGGUGAGUAACACGUGGGUGACCUGCCCCGCACUUCGGGAUAAGCCUGGGAAACUGGGUCUAAUACCGGAUAGGACCGCACCGUGAGGGUGUGGUGGAAAGUUUUUCGGUGUGGGAUGGGCCCGCGGCCUAUCAGCUUGUUGGUGGGGUAAUGGCCUACCAAGGCGGCGACGGGUAGCCGGCCUGAGAGGGUGGACGGCCACAUUGGGACUGAGACACGGCCCAGACUCCUACGGGAGGCAGCAGUGGGGAAUAUUGCACAAUGGGCGGAAGCCUGAUGCAGCGACGCCGCGUGGGGGAUGACGGCCUUCGGGUUGUAAACUCCUUUCACCAUCGACGAAGGUUUUCUGACGGUAGAUGGAGAAGAAGCACCGGCUAACUACGUGCCAGCAGCCGCGGUAAUACGUAGGGUGCGAGCGUUGUCCGGAAUUACUGGGCGUAAAGAGCUCGUAGGUGGUUUGUCGCGUCGUCUGUGAAAUUCCGGGGCUUAACUCCGGGCGUGCAGGCGAUACGGGCAUAACUUGAGUACUGUAGGGGAGACUGGAAUUCCUGGUGUAGCGGUGAAAUGCGCAGAUAUCAGGAGGAACACCGGUGGCGAAGGCGGGUCUCUGGGCAGUAACUGACGC